rnacentral:rRNA from 1 species
UACGAAGGGGGCUAGCGUUGUUCGGAAUUACUGGGCGUAAAGCGCACGUAGGCGGACUACUAAGUCAGGGGUGAAAUCCCGGGGCUCAACCCCGGAACUGCCUUUGAUACUGGGAAGCUCGAGUCCGGAAGAGGUGAGUGGAACUCCGAGUGUAGAGGUGAAAUUCGUAGAUAUUCGGAAGAACACCAGUGGCGAAGGCGGCUCACUGGUCCGGUACUGACGCUGAGGUGCGAAAGCGUGGGGAGCAAACAGG